CCUACGGGGGGCAGCAGCUAAGAAUCUUCCGCAAUGGACGAAAGUCUGACGGAGCGACGCCGCGUGGAUGAAGAAUGUAGAGAUAUUGUAAAGUCCUUUUAUGGUGGAGGAAUAAUGCUGAUAGGAAAUGAUCGGCAGAUGACGUUAAACCAUGAAUAAGCCCCGGCCAAUUACGUGCCAGCAGCCGCGGUAACACGUAAGGGGCGAGCGUUGUUCGGAAUUAUUGGGCGUAAAGGGCGUGUAGGCGGAAAAUUAAGCUUGAUGUGAAAGAUCGCAGCUCAACUGCGAAAACGCAUUGGGAACUGGUUUUCUAGAGUUUUGGAGGGGUAGUUGGAAUUCCUAGUGUAGGGGUGAAAUCUGUUGAUAUUAGGAAGAACACCGGUGGCGAAGGCGAACUACUGGCCAGAAACUGACGCUGAGGCGCGAAAGCAUAGGGAGCGAACAGGAUUAGAUACCCCCGUAGUC
rnacentral:rRNA from 1 species